CCGUCCGGAACCUCUGGGCCUGGCGGCUGCAGCGUCACCAGCGGAGCCGGUGCGGGGCGGGCAGAGCGGCCGCUGCCGCCGCCAACGAACCGGGGACCGCGCGGGGCCCAGCAGCACACCGGCCAGGGGAGGGGGCCCAGCCGUCGGGCCGAGAGCUACGGGCCGCCGGCGGCCGCGGGGCGACGACGACGCGGAGGAGGCGGAGCCCGGAGAGGGGUG
rnacentral:lncRNA from 1 species